GACGAACGCUGGCGGCGUGCUUAACACAUGCAAGUCGAACGGAAAGGCCCUGCUUUUGUGGGGUGCUCGAGUGGCGAACGGGUGAGUAACAAGUGAGUAACCUGCCCUUGACUUUGGGAUAACUUCAGGAAACUGGGGCUAAUACCGGAUAGGAGCUCCAGCGGCAAGGUGGGGGUUGGAAAGUUUCGGCGGUUGGGGAUGGACUCGCGGCUUAUCAGCUUGUUGGUGGGGUAGUGGCUUACCAAGGCUUUGACGGGUAGCCGGCCGGAGAGGGUGACCGGCCACAUUGGGACUGAGAUACGGCCCAGACUCCUACGGGAGGCAGCAGUGGGGAAUAUUGCACAAUGGGCGGAAGCCUGAUGCAGCAACGCCGCGUGGGGGAUGACGGCCGUCGGGUUGUAGACCGCUUUCGCCUGUGACGAAGCGUGAGUGACGGUAAUGGGUAAAGAAGCACCGGCUAACUACGUG
rnacentral:rRNA from 1 species